rnacentral:rRNA from 1 species
UUGAAGACGACGAGGUAGAUAGGGCAGAGGUGGAAGUGUGGUAACACAUGGAGCUGACUGUUACUAAUCGGGUGAGGGCUUGACCAA